rnacentral:rRNA from 1 species
UACGGGGGGGGCAAGCGUUGUUCGGAAUUACUGGGCGUAAAGGGCUAGUAGGCGGCCAACUAAGUCGGACGUGAAAUCCCUCGGCUUAACCGGGGAACUGCGUCCGAUACUGGAUGGCUUGAGUUCGGGAGAGGGAUGCGGAAUUCCAGGUGUAGCGGUGAAAUGCGUAGAUAUCUGGAGGAACACCGGUGGCGAAGGCGGCAUCCUGGACCGACACUGACGCUGAGGAGCGAAAGCCAGGGGAGCAAACGGG